CAAGCGUGACGGGGAGUGUUGAAAAAGACGGAUCGGAAAUUCACUAGACUCACCAUUUCAAACGCUUCAAUAAAGGCUGUCACAGUAGCAGUGGGCACGUUUCUCGUCUCGGUAAAUUUUCAUGUUCGCGCAUUUGCUGUGGAAGCAUUUGGCCCUAAAAUUCGGACUCAGGCGUUUUUUAGUGUGUUUCUGUGUUUCUGCUGGGAAAAAGUUGGAGUGUCGGUAAAUGCGCAUUCCGUUGAUGCUCAGCAGUUUCCCAGCCGCUACCAAGUUGACGCGGCGGACUACGGAACUUUUCAAAGAGGCUUUGCUUCGCAACUGGCUCUUCAGUCUUGAAGAGACUAUCCACGUGGACCCUCCUCGUGUGUGCAUCUUUGUUGCACGUCACUUCGUUCCGUUGCACAGCUUUGACCACCCGUAUUCUUGGAAGAACGUUUUUCGAUUGCAUUAGCUCUUGGAUUCGAUCGCCCGCUAUGGAUUCUCGUGAACGGUCAAGCAUGACCAGUAGUGUAUGACAAGGUCUUCCCUGCAGAUACAGUAUGACUUGGAAGCGACACCACUGGCAGGCUGCGUUAUUUUGCUUGUCGGCUUCCGUGGGCCUUGCUCACCGUUGUCCAAAAGACUCCAUGCCGUGGCCAGAGCUAUACCGCCAAGCCAUGGAACUGCAAUCAGUGUCAUGCCGCGCGGGAAUCUGAGGAAGCCACAGCCGGGCACGGCUCUGAUGCCCCUUCUCCGACGUCUCUACCGUCAGUGAUUCUUGACGCCGGGCUGUUUUUCGAUUCACUAUGGCGUCGCUCAAAAAUGUCCGCAUUCCAGCACUUACGGUUGUAUACUUGUGUUAGUCUCUUACCCGUUGGCCCGGUAUCUACUUUCUUCUGUGCCACAUCCCUUAAGGAACAUUUGAGAUUCUCAAAAACCGCACGUGUUUUCCCA
rnacentral:lncRNA from 1 species